rnacentral:misc_RNA from 1 species
GUGAAUCAUCGAAUUUUUGAACGCAAAUUGCACUCUCUUCUGUGAGGAUGCCUGUUUGAGGGUCAGCCUAAAAAAAAUCGACAUCGUUGCUGUUUCUCGGUGGCGUUCGUCGGCAAUUGGGUUAACUUAAAUUUUUUGUUUAUGCGACUUAUAAUUUUCUUUGUGAUUCCAUGACCGUUUCCAAGAUUUAUUUUUUUACUCGUUUAAGGUAUCGAUUUUAUUAGGCGUGGUCG